CUGUCUUUACUAAGGCUCUUGCGGAUACACCAAAUCAGUUCAUGCAAAAGUCCUUGUAUUUUAUCUACAAGCGUUAUGUAGCUACAGAUAGAAUUUUCUCCUUGGGGUGGAGGUCAGAGCCAAAGGAAACCAUUCUGUGGAAGACUGGAAUGGUGUGUGUGUCAGAGCUCCUCUUGAGUCCCUUUGGGAUUCUUCAAAUCUGGGACUUGGCUGGAGAGCUGUCGUCAGCAGUUGUGAAGAAUAUCUGGACCACACCAACAAAGGGUGAGAAACACAAGACGGAAGAGGGGCAGCCAUCGUGGAGGGUACAGCGUUUCUUCCUAGAGGAAUACCAGAGCUAUUUCUCUUGGUACUGAGCCAGUCUCUAGGUGGGAAUGUUUCUUGUUCAUACUAGGAGGUCACAGCCUGUUGUUAGUGACUCCUGCGAUUCUUUCCCUCUGGGUUUGGUUCUGUCUCUCAUUUGUCCUCCAAGAUGUCUGCCAGUGUCAAUGGGUAGAGUCGUCCUGACUCCAUUUCAGCCCUGGAAACAGUGUUGCAGGUAAGGAAAGAGUGGCUUACAGAGCGCCCUUAGAGUCUGCCUCUGGAAUGUCUCCCACAGGCUCCCAUUUCCAGUGCUUGGCCCCAGCUUGCGGUGUUAUUUCCAAGGGUGUGGAUCUUUUUAGGAGUUGGGACCUGGUUGGUGCUCAUUGGUUCCCAGUGGUGGGCCUCUGAAGGUCAUAUCCACCCUGGUUCUAGUCUGGUUCUCUGCUCCUGGUCUACUGCCACGUGAACUAAUGACUGCUACGUGCUUCUGUCACCUGACCUCUGCCACGCAUCCUUACAGUGGUGGAAUGGAACUUCUGGAGUGAGUGCAGACUUCGGAUGAGAAGAGGCCUCAUCUGGAAAAUGAUGAUAAGCUUUCUCCAACGCAGACAUUUCUAUUAAUGAAAGAGCGCAGUCAUGCAAGCUUCUAGUUCUAAUUGUCUACGGGAAAAUUUCACGGAAACUUGUAGAUAAAAGAAUGCUGCUGGCAAAGGAAGCCCCGACGGGUUGCAGCCAAGGGUCUCUCGCUGAACCUGAAAGUCAUUGACCUGGCUGGCUGUCCAGAGAGCUUCAGAUAGCCAUCUGUUCCAUCAGCCAAGUGCUGGUCUCAGGCAUGUGCUGCCACGCCUGGCUCCACCCUGCUAACAUGUGCGUCUUGCGUACUGGCCCUCAUACAUGCAUAGCAGGUUGCCUUGGUUUCAUCAACCAUCAGCGAGGAUAACAGCAGCUCAUACAUCAUUUGGAGAAGCUGUGUGCCAGGUGCUUUCCGGGUGUGAGCUCACUUAGUCAUCAAGACGAGCUGUUCUUGUCAUCCAAUUCAUUUCACAGUGUGGAAGAGCCGAGACCCAGAUUUAGUGUCUAACGUGCUCCACGCGACAAAUGACAGAGGUGUCCUUUGACCCCAGACUGCCUAACUUCAAAACCUGAGUUUCCAACACUCAGGUUGGAGCCCACUCUAUGUCAAAAGUGAGGAUGAAAUUCAGAACUAGCAGGGAACAGACUGGUUUGAAAAGACUGGUCGGACGGAAAGAACCUGGCAAAGAUGGACUCGAACCUCUACCGUCACCUUAUAACGAGCUUACCCUUUGAAGAAAUCAUUUUUCCAAAAUACGUGAUGCUGAAUUUUGAUGUCAGUUUGAUUGCUAAGAAGCAGACAGGCGGUUAACGAGGUGCAUAUGUGGGCGGGUCUGUAAGGGGGUUUGCAGAGAGGUUUAAUGGAGAAGGCUGACCGCUGCCUUGAACGUGGACAGCACCACCCCAUGAGCUGGAGUCCAGGACUGAAGGAAAAAGGGGGGAACAUCUGCAUUCUCUGCUCUCCGAUCCAUACAGAUGUGAGAAAGAUGUUCUUGGUAUGCCUUUCCCGCCACAGUGGCCUGUACCCUAAACCAUAAGCCAACAAAACAAAACAAAACAAAAACAAAAACAAAAACAAAAACCCUGUCAUUUUAGUGUUUUUUCUCUGACAUUUAGAGACAGCAGAGAGGAAAGAACUGAAGUGAGCAGCGGAGGCUGCUUUGCUAAUGCCAGGGGAUCAGAGAUGAAGUGUAUGAAGCAUUCAGUUCAUAGGAAAUCAAAAUGUAUAUCCAUCAUUGUUCCUGUUUUUAAUGUAAUAGUCUUGAA